rnacentral:rRNA from 1 species
AUGGCGCGCCCCACCCACGCCGUCGCGGCUCUCCUGGCCGUCGUCCUCGCGCUGGCGUCCGGCGCGGCGUCGCAGGCGCCGGCGGCGGGGCCGGCGGCGCCGGCGGGGGACUGCGGCUCCGCGCUGACGGGCCUCACCGGCUGCCUCCCCUACAUCACGCCGGGGGCCGCGCCGGGCAAGCCGCCCAAGGAGUGCUGCACCGGCGUCAAGACCGCGCUCGCCAGCCCCGCCAGCGUCGCCUGCCUCUGCGACGCCUUCGGCAAGGACUACGGCAUCCCCAUGAACCUCACCCGCGCCAAGGGCCUCCCCGCCGCCUGCGGCGGCAACCCGGCCGCCCUCAGCAACUGCAGCCUGAAACUGCCCGGCGGAGCCCCUAACGGCGCCCCUACUGAAGCACCUACACCAACUUCCGGAUCAACACCAACAACCGUCAGCCCAAGCCCAGCGAAAUCGGCAGCGACCAGAUCUCCUGUCUCGGCGGCAACCAUCCUCCUAGCCGCGGUGGUGGCGCCUCUGCUUUCUUACUACUACCUCUGA